rnacentral:piRNA from 1 species
UGGAUUCUGUGGCUACCAAGAACACACUUGU